rnacentral:lncRNA from 1 species
CACGUGGAAGCCAAGUGGGAAAAGACAUCAAUGACUCUUCACGUGUUGUCUCGUGAUUCAAUGCAUCAUAUACAUUUUGAGAAAUUAACUUGAAAAGCGUGGUACGAUGACACUUACUUUAUGGAGAGACAGGCCCUUAUCAGGUCAGAUUGGGUCCCAUGAAUUAUUUCUGUCUGGCUGCUUCUUUGCUUCAGAUGCUGCAGCUGGGCUGAGGUGAGGCAGGGACACUGAAGCCGGUCUGGAAAAUUCAGGGAGAACAAGGCCUGUGCGCCCAUGCACCACCACGCUCCAACCUUUUAUACCUGGAAGAUGAUGCUUAUCAGUCACCAUCCAGAGGGAGCCUCAGACUGUUCUCAGUCCUCUGCUAAAGAGUAACUUCUGUCUGCAGAGUGGAACUGACAAAUGAGACAAAAUCCCUUUACUGUGGCAAAUGAACAGCAUGAGAGGGACACAAGCAUAGCACGGCACAAAACUAGGUCAUCUGAAUUCUAAGAUACAGCAUGCUGUCCGGGGCUCCAUCCUCUCCUUACACCUGCUCUUUGGGAUGGGUGCCAUCUAAGCGCAUCAUUCAGGAGCACAGCUAAGACUUCCGAAGCCCUUCAGGUCCAGUUCCAAGAAAGCCCAAGAGAAGGACAUUCCUUCUGCUAUGCACGGACGGCUCGGCUUCCAACGCCAGACUGACUGUCCUCUCCUCUGAGUCAUCGAGCCCCACCGCACCCCCACCCCAGGGAGCUCUUACCUCCCCUCAGCUCCAUGACCUAAGCCAAGAUGUUGCUAGAAGGCAAUUCAAUGUUCCAAUUUGAAAUAAGUCACACUUCAGGACAGAGAGAGAAAUAACAGAGCAGAGCAGCUCAAGCUCAAGAUGAUUCUUCAUUUUGAACUGCUUUCUGCAGCUGAGAAAUGAGAUCAAUGUUCUCUGCUGAUUUUCUUGAUUACCUGACAGCAAACUGUCGACAUUCCUGGUUCCAGCUCUGUGAAGUCUGGGAAGGUGGCCCUCUCUCUCACGUUUGUAUUUUGGACCCAGC